rnacentral:rRNA from 1 species
CCUACUGGUGGCAGCAGUGAGGAAUAUUGGUCAAUGGCCGGAAGGCUGAACCAGCCAUGCCGCGUGAAGGUCAGUGCCCUAUGGGCGUUAAACUUCUUUUGUGCGGGAGCAAUAAUGGUCACGUGUGGCCAGACGAGAGUACCGUACGAAUAAGAAUCGGCUAACUCCGUGCCAGCAGCCGCGGUAAUCCGGGGGAUGCAAGCGUUAUCCCGAUUUAUUGGGUUUAAAGGGUGCGUAGGCUGUGAGGUAAGUCAGCGGGGAAAUGCCCCCGCGCAACGGGGUGAAGUGCCAUUGAUACUGCCUGGCUGGAAGGCGGAUGCCGUGGGAGGAAUGUGUGGUGGAGCGGUGAAAUGCAUAGAGAUCACACAGAACACCGAUUGCGAAGGCAUCUCACGAAUCCGCGAUUGACGCUGAUGCACGAAAGCGUGGGUAUCAAACAGGAUUAGAUACCCGAGUAGUC